rnacentral:rRNA from 1 species
UCUGACCUCAAAUCAGGUAGGACUACCCGCUGAACUUAAGCAUAUCAAUAAGCGGAGGAAAAGAAACUAACAAGGAUUCCCCUAGUAACUGCGAGUGAAGCGGGAAGAGCUCAAAUUUAAAAUCUGGCAGUCUUUGGCUGUCC